rnacentral:rRNA from 1 species
GUCCACGCCCUAAACGAUGAACACUCGAUGUUAGCGAUAUACAGUUAGCGUCUAAGCGAAAGCGUUAAGUGUUCCACCUGGGGAGUACGCCCGCAAGGGUGAAACUCAAAGGAAUUGACGGGGCCCGCACAAGCGGAGGAGCAUGUGGUUUAAUUCGAUGAUACGCGAGGAACCUUACCCGGGCUUGAAAGUUACUGAAGUAUCCCAGAGAUGGAUACGUCCGCAAGGACAGGAAACUAGGUGCUGCAUGGCUGUCGU